GCUCAGGACGAANGCUGGCGGCGUGCCUNAAUAACAUGCAANUCGUAACGCUUCUUUUUCCACCGGAGCUUGCUNCCACCGGAAAAAGAAGAGUGGCGAACGGGUGAGUAACACGUGGGUAACCUGCCCAUCAGAAGGGGAUAACACUUGGAAACAGGUGCUAAUACCGUAUAACAAUCGAAACCGCAUGGUUUUGAUUUGAAAGGCGCUUUCGGGUGUCGCUGAUGGAUGGACCCGCGGUGCAUUAGCUAGUUGGUGAGGUAACGGCUCACCAAGGCCACGAUGCAUAGCCGACCUGAGAGGGUGAUCGGCCACAUUGGGACUGAGACACGGCCCAAACUCCUACGGGAGGCAGCAGUAGGGAAUNUUCGGCAAUGGACGAAAGUCUGACCGAGCAACGCCGCGUGAGUGAAGAAGGUUUUCGGAUCGUAAAACUCUGUUGUUAGAGAAGAACAAGGAUGAGAGUAACUGUUCAUCCCUUGACGGUAUCUAACCAGAAAGCCACGGCU
rnacentral:rRNA from 1 species